rnacentral:rRNA from 1 species
CUAAGAAUAUUCCGCAAUGGAGGAAACUCUGACGGAGCGACGCCGCGUGGAUGAUGAAGGUCGGAAGAUUGUAAAAUCCUUUUAUGACUGAGGAAUAAGUACGUUGAGAGAAACGGCGUAUGAUGACUGUAGGUCAUGAAUAAGCAACGGCUAAUUACGUGCCAGCAGCCGCGGUAACACGUAAGUUGCGAGCGUUGUUCGGAAUUAUUGGGCGUAAAGGGCAUGUAGGCGGUUUUGCAGGCUUGGUGUGAAAUGCAUAGGCUCAACCUAUGAACUGCAUUGAGAACUACAAGACUUGAGUUACUGAGGUGGAACUGGAAUUCCAGGUGUAGGGGUGAAAUCUGCAGAUAUCUGGAAGAACACCAAUGGCGAAGGCAAGUUUCAAGCAGAUAACUGACGCUGAGGUGCGAAGGUGCGGGGGAGC